UUGACUUUGUUUUUCUUUCCUGGGCUCUCUCCCCCAGAACUCCUCCUGUGUGCAUGAGCUGGCUCCUUUAGGGCUGGCCACACUGUGGAGGUCACCGCAUCGAGUGCACACUGGAGGGAUGGCCAUCGCUGUGUCUACACCCGCGUAACCACCAGAUAAAGACACGAUCAUUUCCAGUUCCACAGGUGCUCCCCAGUCAGGACCACUCCUGGAGGUGGCUGCUUGUCUGCCUUCUAUCACUGUAGAUUCGUUCUGCAUACUCGACCUGCAUACAAGCGCUAUUGUAUGUAUCGUCUCUUUGUAUCUGGCUUCUUUCACUCAACCUAAAGCCCAGGAGAGUCACCCACGCUGCUGUGUGGCAGAUGCUUCUGUCGGGUUUGAUCACUGUGUAGUGCUCUGUUAUGCGGGUGUAUGGCCAUCAGGCAGCCAUUCUACUGGGGAUAGCUAUUGGGCUGCUCCCGGUUGAGUACUGUGAUUAAAGCAUUCCUGGGCAUGUGCUUUUGUUUCUCUCGGAAGUGUAGCUGGGGAUGGAAUCGCUGGGUGACUUGGACUUUCAAGAGGUCAUUGUGCAUCCUGAUCACCAGCCAGACUUGGGGACAUGACGGCGUUAGUGCCGUCCCAGGUGCAGCCUCUUGGGAAGGUCAUACAGCUGUUUCACAUGGCAAGGAGGGGGGACCUGGAUGCCUCACCCUGGUGGGCUUGUACCUUUCAAAAGACUGGCAGUGCUGCAGAGGGAAUGAGGGGGUCUUCUUCAAGGGCUGGAAGGGAGGUCGGGGAAGCACGGGACCUAGGGUGGCAAGGCAGGAGGGAUGGGGUUGCCCAAGAUGCACAGGCCAGCUGAGGCUCCCGGAUGAGUGGCCUGUCCACUGUCACAUUGGCCAAGUAUGUGGCCAACAGGUAUGUCAGUGCAGGUGAGCCUCUGCCAGCUCGCGCUGUCUCAGUCCCAGCCAGCUGCCCUCUCUUUGCAGGAGGCCCUGGGGGACAAGCAGCUACUCGGGUUGUGGACUUGCUGGUGCUCUGCCCUGAAGGCACCCUCCAGGUGCCAAGAGGUCAGGAUCUGGGCUUCCUGCAGCUGAUUUUCCUGCACAAGUCCUGGCCAGCCUGGAGAUAGGGGUGUUCCUGGAAGCUGGCCAGAGAGAGAUUUGUUGAGCACCUGCUAUGUUCCAGACAUGGUGACACAGCUGUGAGCCAGAGAAGAGGCCAGGCUCCUGCCCUCCAUGUUCUCAUGGGGGAAACAGAGAGGAAGCCCCGAACCAAGUCGAACAGUGUUCAAAGCUACGAGAAAAACCGAGCAGGGUCAAGGGGAUGGUGAAAACCAUUUCCUGCUCGCUGUGGACCAGGUCCAGAGGCUGCGCCCGAGGCUCCCACGCCAACCGUCCAGUGUCCUUGGCCGAGGGCAGGGAUCUCGCCGCCUUUCCCCCUUCCUCAGCCAAACCCUCACACUCCCGCAGCCGAAUCGCCGGAGGCCGGGAAAGACCCUCGCCUGUCCCUUGCAGCAAGAGUGACAGACCUGGGCAGAGGCCACGUUCGUCCCCACAGACAGCCUCGCUUCCCUGCUCCACUUGCCUUUCCCCAGGGCAGCUCCGGGCCGGGCCUGCAUGGGAGCCAGCCCCCACUACCCACCAGAACCAGCAGCCCCCAGAGAGCUGACAGGGACCUGCAGGAGCGGGCGCUUCGUGGUGCCCGGCAAAAGCCUCCUGGGCAGAGGACACAAACAUACUGAGGACAGAAAACAGCUGUUGGCCCAGGAUGGCAGGGUCUGGGGUGGGGUGGCGGGUACAUGUCCCUGGCCCGCGGGAGUCCCUUCUCUGGUGGGAGCCGCGCCUCCCGCCAGGUGCCACCUGGUCAGCUUCGGGAGAUGUGGAGAAUGCAUUUCACAGUGAUUUCCACUGGGCCGUGGCACCGAGACAGCUGCGGGGGGGGGGGCACAGCUGGUGCCGCCCUCAGCCCGCCACUGAGUGUCUCUGGAGUGAUGCCUCCGCCCCACGGCGGGUCUCAGGGCCUCACUUGCUGUGGCUCCAGGGGCCACGGGAAGGUAUCUUUAAGCUGAACCCCCAUUUUCAAGGGCAAGACUUGGCUUUUAUUAAAAAUAAAGUCCCAUCAUCACUUACUCCAGUGGCUCCCAAAUCAGGCUAACCAGCAGGAUCUUCCAGGAUGUUUAUUAGAAAAUAAAGAUAAAUCAAGAGUUUCAGACCCCAUCAGUCAGAUCUCUUAGGGUCAGCCCAGGCUGGGUGGGGUCCAAUUGCUUUCCUGAGUCCAGGAGGUUGAGCCCAUCGAGUGAGACGGGGAGGGCGGAGUGGCGAGGGUGGAGGUGAGGGGAGUCAUGUUUGCAGACCGGCUCAUCAGAGAGGAAUCGUAGCUGCCCACAUGUCCUCGCGCUCAGCUUCAAGACAAACCUGUGUGCUGUGUCUGAUUAUUGUCCCUGUUUUGAUGACGAAGAAACGACCACACACACACACACAGCCGGGAAGAGGCCACGCCAGCACUCAGACCCAGAUCUGUCUCUCAACUGCUCGGCCAUGGAAGGGAUAAUCUGAAACCUCGGUGUCACCUUGGAGUCAGGCCACCGAGUGACAUCACACAGCUGCUUUCUGGACGCGCGUCUCUGGUGGCUCUCUCUGUGUCAGGGGCUCAGCUGGCCCUGGCUCAAGUCCCUCCACAGCAGUUCACCAUGCACCUGGGGACACAGACGUGACCAGGACACGGCCCUCAUCAAGGCGACCGGUGCAUGGCAAAGGCACCGGGCUGGCAUCGGAGAGGGACUCGUGGUCUCAGAGCUCUGACAGGGAACACAGUGUCCUUCCCGAGCAGGGGGCCUGGGCUGCCUGAGGUCUGGGCACCUGGCCAGACAGACGCGCUGGCACCCCCACGCCAGCUCCCGGCCCUGCGGAUGCCUCUGUCUGCCCGACGACACUGGUGGCCGCGCCUCGUGCCCCUCUGCUUCCUGUCGACAGCCAGCACCGUGUCCGGCACACGCAGGUGCUCAGUGAGGCAGCUGUACACCCAUUGAAAGGCCCAGGCACUGGGCUGAAAGGUUAGGGAUUCGCAGUGAGCCUCCAUCUCCAUGGAGCGUACAGCCUCACUGGGGAGGAAGACAGGAAACAUAAUUAAUCCAUUACCAUUGUGGUGAAAGCUGGAAGGAAAAACAAUAAGGUGGUUUAGGAGUGGUGUGUGUGUGUGUGUGCGUGUGUGUGUGUGUGUCUCACCGAGGGAUCAAUGAAAACUUUUCCUCAUCAAAGAACAUUUACGGGGACCGGUGCUGUGGCGUUGCGGGUAAAACUGCCGCCUGCAGUGCCAGCAUCCCAUAUGGGCGCUGGUUUGAGUCCUGGCUCCUCUACUUCUGAUCCAGCUCUCUGCUAUGGCCUGGGAAAGCAGUGGAAGAUGGACCAUGUGGGAGAACCAGAAGAAGCUCCUGGCUCCUGGCUUCAGAUCGGCGCAGUCCCGGCCAUUGUGGCCAUCUGGGGAGUGAACCAGCAGAUGGAAGACUUCUCUCUCUCUCUCUCUCUGCCUCUGCCCCUCUGUAACUCUACCUUUCAAAUAAAUAAAUAAAUCUUGGGAAAAAAAUAGGAGCAAGA